rnacentral:rRNA from 1 species
GUGGAUUAGAUACCCGGGUAGUCCGAGCCGUAAACGAUGGACACUAGGUGUCGGGGGUAUCGACCCCCCCGGUGCCGUAGCUAACGCGUUAAGUGUCCCGCCUGGGGAGUACGGUCGCAAGACUGAAACUCAAAGGAAUUGACGGGGGCCCGCACAAGCGGUGGAGCAUGUGGUUUAAUUCGAUGCAACGCGAAGAACCUUACCAAGGCUUGACAUGUCGAGAACCUGGAUGAAAGUCCGGGGUGCCGCAAGGAGCUCGAACACAGGUGGUGCACGGCCGUCGCCAGCU